rnacentral:lncRNA from 1 species
AUGAUGGAAAGCCUAAAUUAAAGAUAACCAUCACUUCGUAAACAGAGGAAGUUAAACAGGCCUUGAAAAACGAGAACAAAACUGCAGAUCCAACAAGGAGAUAACACGUGUACGAGUAUUAAAUAAGAAAGACAGAAGAGACGUCGAUACUGACACAGGCAUUAAUGGUGACAAAAAUUCUUUUUCAGGAUCCACUUCCCAAUUAUUUAAUUGAUAAA